ACGAAAAAUAUAACAUGUCUUUAUUAACCAUGUCUCUGCAUAUUCAAUAUAUCUAAACAUAUUCAACUUGAUGGUCUUGAAAAGUUUAGUUAAGUUCUUGUCAUAAUCUUAUAUCUUACGUAUUAGUUAUAAGGAUAACUCCUUAAACAUCUUUCAAAAUUACUUGUUUUCUUAACAUAAAUCUCGAAAAGCUUAGAUAUAUUUAAUCUGCAUAUUCAUUUAGUUUCUUUCAUAAUAAUGUGUAAUUUUUAGACAAGGAAUAUGUGUUGGAUUUUAUGAUCACUUUAGCCACUUAAGUAGAUCUCAAAAUUAAAGAGAAUAUAUUGAAUUAAAAAAUGUAGAAAGAGUGAUAGUUCAAGUUCUGAUUAAUUAUAUCCUCCUAUUUUAGUUGUUAUGUUGAAUUAAUUACUAAUUAUGUGUUACUUAUUUUAUGAAGUUUAGGUGGCAAGCUCUCAUGUGCUGAUGUGUCAAGUUGUGGAAGAGACUUAGCCUCCUUUCGUAUAUAUGAUUAUUAUUUGAUGUUU
rnacentral:sRNA from 1 species